rnacentral:lncRNA from 1 species
GCCUUUCAUCUGGACGUGCCUCGCGGACGUCACGUGGAUGCAGAGCCCUCUUUCACUGCUGCUGAGCUGCAGCCGCCCCGCGCAUCCCUGCAGUGUGUGCAGCACAGCGCGUCCCAGAGGUGCUGACCAGGAUGCAGGAUUCCCUGGGAUCCAAAGAUCCCCAUCCUGCUGUGCCCCAGAUCUGAUGUGUAAGGAGCAGGAAAAUCUAAACACAAACGAGGAGUGCAGGAGGCACCGGCGCGAUGCGUGAUUUUAAGACCACUUACGCUGCUGCAGCGCUGCGUUAGGAGUGGUUUCGACGCAUCGGGUGCGAUGGGCACCGGCAAAGCAGGGAACGCUGCUCCAGGAGCACAUCCAGAGCGGGCAGCUUUGUACAAACAAGGAGAUGAGAGGCAGAGGGAGGGCUCAGGGCUGGAACACCGCUGUAAACACAGUGUGCUUUGGCUCGGAGUCGGGUGAGCCCCUGCGACGGCGGCGGAGCUGCAGGGAGGUGUGCGCCCGCGUGCCAGCGCCGAGCGGAGCUUUCACAAUAAAUGAUUAAAGCAUGGUUCAGAUCCCGUCAAAUGGAACGGUGCUAAUCUAAUCACAAUCCAUCUGGCACUGCCACAUCUGUCCCAACACCUCCACCUCUUCAUUUUCAAUCAGCCUUAAAUAGUACAUAAUUAUUAAUGUCUACCCGGCUGUCAGGCGGCGCGGGGGAUUCACUUAUCUCUCCCAUCGGCUCAGGAAGGGAUCGGGGAUCGGGGAUGGAGGGCUGGGAGCCCUCAG